rnacentral:rRNA from 1 species
AACGUAGGAGACGAACGUUAUCCGGAGUUACUGGGCGUAAAGGGCGUGUAGGCGGUAUGUUAAGUCUGGCGUGAAAGCUCUCGGCUAAACCGGGAGAGGUCGUUGGAUACUGGCACACUUGAGGAUGGUAGAGGCGUGUGGAAUUCCGGGUGUAGUGGUGAAAUGCGUAGAGAUCCGGAGGAACACCAGUGGCGAAGGCGACACGCUGGGCCAUACCUGACGCUAAAGCGCGACAGCAUGGGGAGCAAACGGG